GACGAACGCUGGCGGCGUGCUUAACACAUGCAAGUCGAACGGAAAGGCCCUGCUUUUGUGGGGUGCUCGAGUGGCGAACGGGUGAGUAACACGUGAGUAACCUGCCCUUGACUUUGGGAUAACUUCAGGAAACUGGGGCUAAUACCGGAUAGGAGCUCCUGCGGCAUGGUGGGGGUUGGAAAGGUUCGGCGGUUGGGGAUGGACUCGCGGCUUGUCAGCUUGUUGGGGGGGUAGUGGCUUACCAAGGCUUUGACGGGUAGCCGGCCUGAGAGGGUGGCCGGCCACAUUGGGACUGAGAUGCGGCCCAGAAUCCUACGGGAGGCAGCAGUGGGGAAUAUUGCACAAUGGGCGGAAGCCUGAUGCAGCAACGCCGCGUGCGGGAUGACGGCCUUCGGGUUGUAAACCGCUUUCGCCUGUGACGAAGCGUGAGUGACGGUAAUGGGUAAAGAAGCACCGGCUAACUACGUG
rnacentral:rRNA from 1 species